ensembl:snoRNA SNORD14 Small nucleolar RNA SNORD14
UCACAAUGAUGAGUGGUUUCCAAACAUUCGCGGUUUCCACCAGAAUUCAAAUCAUGUUGGCAACUAACCUUCCUUGGAUGUCUGAGUGA